UAGGGAAUCUUCCGCAAUGGACGCAAGUCUGACGGAGCAACGCCGCGUGAGUGAAGAAGGAUCUCGGUUCGUAAAACUCUGUUGUUAGAGAAGAACAGCGCAUAGAGUAACUGUUAUGCGUGUGACGGUAUCUAACCAGCAAGCCACGGCUAACUACGUGCCAGCAGCCGCGGUAAUACGUAGGUGGCAAGCGUUGUCCGGAUUUAUUGGGCGUAAAGCGAGCGCAGGCGGUCAAUUAAGUCUGAUGUGAAAGCCCCCGGCUCAAGCGGGGAGGGUCAGUGGAAACUGGUUGACUUGAGUGCAGAAGAGGAGAGUGGAAUUCCAGGUGUAACGGUGAAAUGCGUAGAUAUAUGGAGGAACACCAGUGGCGAAGGCGACUCUCUGGGCUGUAACUGACGCUGAGGCUCGAAAGCGUGGGUAGCAAACAGG
rnacentral:rRNA from 1 species